UCUCUUCAUACUUUUUUCCUCGGUCUCGCAUACACAUUUGGUACGCGUAUCGCAUUUAUGUACAUAUAUACUUAUACAAACAUGUAUACAUACAUGAUUGUUUCUUUGUGAUAGUAUUCGAAAAUAUUCCCACUGGUACAGCAAGAUCUUCAUGGUAACGUUUUGACAAGAAAGCAACGAUCUCUUUACCGCUACCGAGAAUAACCGAGUUCCUUAGGUACAUACUGCGAAGUGUUUAUAUCGUCGAUUCGAGCUGCGGAGGUGUUCUGUACUUCGUCAACCGAAGAGUUUACAAAGCGGUACCGAUUCACCUUCUUGUUUUUAACACCUACUAGCAUAGCACGUGCCUCUUCUACAUUUUUUUUAAGUUUUACUUUAUCUUCUAAAAAAGGUGCAAUUUCACAAUUAUAUAAUUUUAUUUUUUUUCUCUAUAAAUUAAAUAAUAUAUUAUUUUAACUUUCAUUGGAAUAAUUAAUAUGACAAUUAUUUUUUAUUUGUAGCAUUCCAUCAAUACAUGAUGGGAUGUAAUUAUGUGUAUGUAGAUAAAUAAAAUGAUAAUCUACAUUAUUAUA